CGUCGAACGAGCCAAAAAAUAAUUGCAAUUGUCAUCAUAUAAAUACCGUUAGAUUCAUAUUUCAAUACCGUUAGAUUUUCGGAUUGGGCAAGCACGAUGAAGAAGCUUUCUAGACAGCAAAAGGAAAUUUUGAAAGUUGUGAGAGGAGAUAGUUGGAGGAAGGAAAAUAGUUGGACGUGAAUUAGGAAAAGAGAUAAAAGCUAUCUGCAGGAGGAAUCGAGAAGGAACUAAUCUUUUGAUCUGCUGCUGCUGUUGUUGUACAAAGGCCAGAUACAAAAAGUUUCUUUGGAAGGAAUCCGAACAAGUGGUAUUUAUGAUUCUGGUUGACUGACACCCUAUUAGGCCUCUUUUAACCACUUUGGUCAUUUACAACGGAACCGGAUGCUUCGAGGAAGUGACAAAGUCCCUGAAUUAAAUGCUCAUCUCUUUCUCCGCGACGACUGACCCCAUUUUUCCAAACCUAGUCUCAAACGGAAGGUAUAGUCUCCUUAUUGACUACUGUCGUAUUUUAUUGUUGGAUCGGAGCUCUGGUUCCGGAGGUAUGAACUGAAGAGUGUGAUCAAACAUGAAAUUCCCACAACCUGUUAUUCCUUUAGUACUACAAUGACGGUGUUGACGGACAUGACAAAAUUUUCUAGAUCAUGAUUAAAAUAUUUAAGUAUGAAUUUGUUGAUAUUCAGCCUUGUUCUACAU